rnacentral:rRNA from 1 species
GAUGAACGCUGGCGGCGUGCCUAAUACAUGCAAGUCGAACGCGAGCACUUGUGCUCGAGUGGCGAACGGGUGAGUAAUACAUAAGUAACCUGCCCUAGACAGGGGGAUAACUAUUGGAAACGAUAGCUAAGACCGCAUAGGUACGGACACUGCAUGGUGACCGUAUUAAAAGUGCCUCAAAGCACUGGUAGAGGAUGGACUUAUGGCGCAUUAGCUGGUUGGCGGGGUAACGGCCCACCAAGGCGACGAUGCGUAGCCGACCUGAGAGGGUGCCCGGCCACACUGGGACUGAGACACGGCCCAGACUCCUACGGGAGGCAGCAGUAGGGAAUUUUUCGGCAAUGGGGGAAACCCUGACCGAGCAACGCCGCGUGAAGGAAGAAGGUUUUCGGAUUGUAAACUUCUUUUAACAGGGACGAAGUAAGUGACGGUACCUGUUGAAUAAGCCAC